rnacentral:tRNA from 1 species
GCUCACAUAGCUCAGUCGGCAGAGCGUCACCUUGGUAAGGUGGAGGUCGUCGGUUCGAUUCCGAUUGUGAGCU